UACGUAGGGUGCGAGCGUUUAAUCGGAAUUACUGGGCGUAAAGCGUGCGCAGGCGGUUCGUUGUGUCCGUCGUGAAAGCCCCGGGCUUAACCUGGGAACUGCGAUGGAAACUAGCGAGCUGGAGUGUGGCAGAGGGGGGUGGAAUUCCGCGUGUAGCAGUGAAAUGCGUAGAGAUGCGGAGGAACACCGAUGGCGAAGGCAGCCCCCUGGGCUAACACUGACGCUCAGGCACGAAAGCGUGGGGAGCAAACAGG
rnacentral:rRNA from 1 species